rnacentral:rRNA from 1 species
GAAAGAGAGCUGCUAAAGGUUUAAUAGAUGAGAAGGGUUUAAAUCUGGGGGGUGCAAACUCAUCUGGUGGUGUGGCUACUGCUGAGAAUCAACAAUCUGGGCAGAGAAAACAGCCGAAACGAAAGAGGAAGAGAAGAUAGCAAAAAAUAGUAUAAAAACUAUCAAAGUAUAUUAAAUAGUAUAAAAAGUAUAAAGGUAAAUAGUUUGGAGUGGUUAUGAGUGAGGUAGUAGAGGAGAAGGUAGCCGAUAGGAAGAGCUUGAUCGCCCAACUGGAGGAGGAGGGUGAUAUCGCAGCUGAUUAUCUAGAGGGGCUACUUGAUAUCGCUGAUUUAGAUGGUGAUAUUGAUAUCGAUGUGGAGAAUGAUCGGGCAGCGCUAGCGAUAAGUGGUGGAAGUUUGAGCCACUUAGUUGGUGGUAGGGGUGAGGUCCUAGAUUCACUUCAGGAGUUAACCCGAUUAGCUGUUCAAACCUCAUUGGGUGAGCGAAGCCGGUUAAUGCUUGAUAUUGAUAAUUUCAGAGGUGAUAAAAAGACGGAGUUAGCCGAGUUGGCUAGGCAGACCGCUAAAGAGGUUAAAAAGAGUGGGGAGGCUAUCAAGCUCCGCCCAAUGAACGCCUUUGAGCGAAAGGUUAUUCAUGACACUAUUCAAGAGAUUGGGUUGACCAGCGAAUCUGAGGGUGAGGAUCCAGAUCGCUGUGUAGUAGUCCUACCAGAGUAGGUUUCACGUGAAACCAUCCCCCGAGCUUCUCGCCUACUUCCAGGGCAGGCAGGAGGAGAUCUUGGAGUAUGCCCAGAUAUUAAAAACUAGGGGAUGAGCUGUGGAUAGGGGUGAAAGGCUAAACAAACUCGGAGAUAGCUGGUUCUCCCCGAAAACUAUUUAGGUAGUGCCUCAUGUAUCACUUCCGGGGGUAAAGCACUGUUAUGGCUAGGGGGUCAUUGCGAUUUACCAAACCAUGGCAAACUCUGAAUACCGGAAAGUGCAAGCAUGGGAGACAGACGGUGGGUGCUAACGUCCAUCGUCAAGAGGGAAACAACCCAGACCGCCAGCUAAGGUCCCAAAUGAUCAGUUAAGUGGUAAACGAGGUGGGAAGGCCUAGACAGCCAGGAUGUUGGCUUAGAAGCAGCCAUCAUUUAAAGAAAGCGUAAUAGCUCACUGGUCGAGUCGUCCUGCGCGGAAGAUGUAACGGGGCUCAAACUGAUAACCGAAGCUGCGGAUGUGCACUAUGUGCACGUGGUAGGGGAGCGUUCUGUAGGUCUGUGAAGGUGGUGGUGUAAACCCUGCUGGAGAUAUCAGAAGUGCGAAUGCUGACAUGAGUAGCGAUAAAGCGGGUGAAAAGCCCGCUCGCCGAAAGCCCAAGGUUUCCUACGCAACGUUCAUCGGCGUAGGGUGAGUCGGCCCCUAAGGCGAGGCUGAAAAGCGUAGUCGAUGGGAAACGGGUUAAUAUUCCCGUACUUUUAUGCAGUGCGAUGUGGGGACGGAGAAGGUUAGGUUAGCGGCCUGUUGGAAUAGGUCGUUUAAGCCGGUAGGCUGGUGCGGUAGGCAAAUCCGCUGCACCUUAAGGCCGAGAGGUGAUGACGAGGGUCUACGGACCUGAAGUAACUGAUACCACGCUUCCAGGAAAAGCCACUAAGCUUCAGCUGCAUAAGAACCGUACCGCAAACCGACACAGGUGGGCAGGAUGAGAAUUCUAAGGCGCUUGAGAGAACUCAGGAGAAGGAACUCGGCAAAUUGACACCGUAACUUCGGGAGAAGGUGUGCCUCUGUCGGUGUAGGACUUCGCGUCCGAAGCUGAUAGAGGUCGCAGAGAAUAGGUGGCUGCGACUGUUUAACAAAAACACAGCUCUGUGCCAACACGAAAGUGGACGUAUACGGAGUGACGCCUGCCCGGUGCUGGAAGAUUAAAUGAUGGGGGGUAUCGUGACUGGGAAACAAUUGAGAUAUCGUGACUGGACACUGUCUCAGCCAUGAGCUCGGUGAAAUUGUAGUAACGGUGAAGAUGCCGUUUACCCGCAGUGGGACGAAAAGACCCUGUGCACCUUUACUAUAGCUUAGUAUUGACCUUGGAUAAAUGAUGUGUAGGAUAGGUUGGAGACUGUGAAGUGGCGUCGCUAGGCGUUGUGGAGUCAUUGUUGAAAUACAACCCUUUGUUUAUCUGAGGCCUAACCCCGCGUUGUGGGGGACAUUGCUUGGUGGGUAGUUUGACUGGGGUGGUCGCCUCCAAAAGAGUAACGGAGGCUUCUAAAGGUUCCCUCAGUACGCUUGGUAACCGUGCGUAGAGUGCAAUGGCAUAAGGGAGCUUGACUGAGAGACAUACAGGUCGAUCAGGUACGAAAGUAGAGCAUAGUGAUCCGGUGGUUCCGCAUGGAAGGGCCAUCGCUCAAAGGAUAAAAGGUACGCCGGGGAUAACAGGCUGAUCUCCCCCAAGAGCUCAUAUCGACGGGGGGGUUUGGCACCUCGAUGUCGGCUCGUCACAUCCUGGGGCUGGAGAAGGUCCCAAGGGUUGGGCUGUUCGCCCAUUAAAGUGGCACGCGAGCUGGGUUCAGAACGUCGUGAGACAGUUCGGUCUCUAUCUGUUGUGGGCGUUAGAAAUUUGAGAGGACCUGCCUCUAGUACGAGAGGACCGGGGUGGACGAACCUCUGGUGUACCUGUUGUGGCGCCAGCUGCAUCGCAGGGUAGCUAUGUUCGGAUGAGAUAAGCGCUGAAAGCAUCUAAGCACGAAACUCGCCUCAAGAUGAGAUUUCUUUUAAGGGCCGUGGAAGACGACCACGUUGAUAGGCUACAGGUGUAAAGACAGUAAUGUCAAAGCCGAGUAGUACUAAUUACCCGUAGAUUUAUAGUUG